rnacentral:tRNA from 1 species
GGUUUUGUACUUUAUUUAGAAGAUUCGGUUUGCAACUGAGAAGAAGAUUUUAUAUCUUAAAACCA